UGUUAACUCUGAUGCUCAACCAGAAGAAAAAUUGGAAUGGUGUCUGUCUUCAUCAAAAACGAAUCGCGUGGUAAACACAACUUCAGCUUUGGCAAAGGAAAGCUUGUGAGAGAUCUAGGCGUCUGGGAGCCCUCCUAGGGUUCUUAGCCCGAGUGUUGGCACUGAUAAUGUGUGCCUACAAGACCUCAGACGAGGACCUGAAACCCACAGCAAAACGAUUGAGGCCGUUGAAGAGACCAAAGACUGAUAAGAGGGGUCUCUGAAAACUGGGUGCCAUGACUCUCUUAACAAGAAUUAAAGUUACCAAAACCAGCAAUGACAUACCACUCAAAAAUUCAUUUUUCUUAAAAAAAAAAAAGCCAAGCAGGUGAUGACAGCCACACACACUGCCACGCUCCCAGAGGGAGCACCUGUGCAGCGGUGCCCACA